UGCCAGAGAGGGCAUCUCAGAGAGUAUAAUCGCUUUUGACUCCAAUAAUGAAAAAUUCAGGUGGUCUUCUUGAACUUUUUGCCCUAACACCUUGAAAGUCAGCUACAUGUCUGGUAACCACUUUUGUAUCUUUAGCUGAUGGCUGCUAGAAAGCUUAUGUGUGUUACAAAAAGGUGCUUGAUGCUCUGGCUGGGACCAAGAAAUAAGAAACUGGUGAAAAGGACAUGGCUGAAUAUACCAGACUCUCCAAAUAUUUCAGUAAUAGAAGACUUUAGUAUAUUGGUUCAAAGAGUAAAUAGGGGAGAGUUUUACUUUAGGACUACUUAUAAACUGAUUUUUCUGUUGCAGCCAACAGAACAAUCAGGUAUUUCUGCCAGACAAUGCUUCGGGGCAUGCAUAUUUGCUCACACUGGAAAACUGACUCCCCUCUCAGAGGGAAAGGAAUAAGUCCAGCUAUACAGCACAGAAGAUAUCUAAGGGAAGAAAAUGCAGAGGCAAAGCGCCCCUGGCUGCUUUCUUUCAAGUUAUAAGAAAACCCAGAGCCAUGUCCAUGUACCAGAAAUAUUCCGGGAAGCGCAGACACAGAAGUCAUGCCCUUCUUGCACUUUGGAGACUUAUUAAGAUGACUGCUAUUCUGCACUAGCCAAAGCUGCUCAAAGGGCCCAGCCCAGGGAUAUAAUUUACUGAGCAUGCUUGGACAGGCCGGCUGCAUUCUCCCCUAAGUUAAAGAAUUUGCACCACCUGCAAAUUAUACUAGUAUGGCCUUUGUAGGACAUCCUGCCCUUUCCUGAAGUCACUGGGGGACCACAUCAUUGCUCACCAAUACCAGGACAUCGUACAUCAGGCAAUAACUUGCUGCUUCUUUUGGAUCCUCAAUCAGGUAAGCAGAAGUUCAUGAAAGGUACAUUGAGUGGAAAAAAGGGACAAGUUACAAUCUGAGGUCAAUUAUUAGGGGUAAGUGAUAGUCCAUCUUCCAGGUAGCACAAUUACCUUUCUCCCACCCACAAAGGCAUCCAGUAAGUCUUUGCCAAACUUACACCACCAAAGAGUCAAAUCUCUACCUUUUGCAAUAGCUUCAUUGGCAGCUGUCUCCUUCCUUUUAGACUUUGUGCUACUUAGCUCCAGGGCUCAUUGUCUUUGUCCCAUAAGUCAGUGACUGCUCCUGUCUCCCAGCAUAACUCCUCAAUUGUGUUAUUUGCUGCUUUAAUUCAAGUACUCACUAGAGCUCACUCAGAAAAUGCUGUUUCUGCCACCACCAAAUUCUAUCCUUCUUCACCAUGCAGCAUGGAGAUCCCUUCUUCCUCCUGGCUAUUGAAUGUGUAGGAAAAGACUACCUAGUUUCCUUCCGAACAGCCCCCUGCUACACUAUCCUCCUAGGUCAUGCUGUCUUUUCUCAAAUUUCAGCAAAGAGAUUGCUACCUCCCUGGUACAUCUGGUGAAAUCUCCUGUUCACAGAAAAAUCAGAUAUUUUCAGGAAACUAUCAUGGAUGGUUCUCUAGGCAAUACCUUUUUUCAGUUGAUCAAGUAACAACAUUAUCACCUCAAUUUAUAUAAAAAAUAAACAAUUUCAUGGGCAUCACACUUUCUCUAGAUCCAGUUUACACAGGAGGAGGAGGUUCUGUCUGCUGCUAUGGAAAUUUAAGAGAAUACACUGGUUUGACAUGAGACAGGAUAAAUUGGGAAAAACCUUUCAGAUUAAAAUCAUCUAAACCCACAGUUUAUAGUCAUAGAAUCAUAACUGGCAAGGGCCUUGGAAAUUAUCUAAGGCAACCUUCUCAUUUACAGACCAGGAAACUGCAUCUCAGCAUUGCUCAAUGACUUGUCCAAAAAGUAGCAAAAUAUUAAAAUGCAAGUCCUCUGACUCCCAUUCCAGCACUAUUUUCUCUAUAUCACAUUCACUGAGAGGCGAAAAAUAGGCUUGAAUAGUUAUCCUAUAAAUUCUAGUGUAGUCUGAGUACUAAGAGAUAACUGUGAUCUAGCCUGGUUGAGUCUGUGGGUUCCAACAAUGAAGCCUUUGUUCUUUUUCAAUCCCCAAUUGUCUUUCCUGAUCCUGCCUUCUUAUUUGCCGAAUGGCCCAGAUUUUCUCAUCUUCAGGUGUUUCCAAUUAAUCAUAGAUGCCCCAUACUGAGUCAUGAGGCAGCAUGGGAAUCAGAAAAAUAUAGGUUCACUUCCUUCUUCUGCCUGAUACUAGCUGUGUGAUCCCUGGGCAAGACAUUUAAGUUUUCAGGACUCAUCGGUCAGUCAUUAAGACAUUGCAGAAGGAUUCCUGAUCUGCAUUAGUAGAACUGGGGGAGGGAGGGGAGAAGUUUCCUACAUGAGUAAAAUAAUAAGUCUUCUCCCCACUGCCCCCAGCAAAAAAAAAAAAAAAAAGUUGAAUUUCUGGUUUGUUUACCAGGGAUAAACAUGGGGAGAAUCUUGUUCCGUACACAGACUCCCAGAAAUAGUUUCCAAAGGUGGAAUGUAUUAUGAUAUAAUUGGGAAAACUUUUAAACUCUAUCUAACCCCUUAUCUAAUCUCAAAUGUAAUCCUUAACCCAUUCUGAGGGAACAUAACUUGUUCUCUCUCCCCGGGGGACUAAGACAAUGGAGAAGGGGCUAUGUCCAAGAGAAAGGCUUCAAUCAUCAACUCAAAAGUCGGGAGACAGAUCUGGGACAGCUCAAGGGAGUUGUUUCUCCAUUAUUCAGGGUACAAGACUCUCAGAGGUGGUUUUCAAAGGGAGAAUGUAUUGUGAUAUAAUCGUGCCUGGUCCCUCUCCUCCCCACUCAUCUCCUGGUGUUUGGAGCUGUUACUGUUAUCUCUACUCCUUGGCUGGCAAAGUUUCCGAACUCCUCCUCUGCUCUGAAAUCCCCGAAGGAAGACGCGAACUAUGGAAAACUCAGGGAGCACCGCGCACCGAGGUGUAAACUGCGGACCGACAAGAGACUGGGGAGAGGUGACACUUCCCCGGGGUCCCCCUAUUUUAGCUUCUUACCUAGAUCCAUUGGAGUGAUUCACCCGCCCCCCACUGAUCACCGGCAGGCUCUAGAUGUAGUUCUGAUUGUCCAGGCAUUCUAGACGGCAGACCUAAGUCCUGAGUCUGAGAGAUAAGUGUAACUCUGAGAGGCUCUGUCUAUUCUGCUCCAGGCUUUCCUCCUUGUUUCCCAUGUUGGUUUGUUGGCUUGGGGGGAGCUGAGCUAUCCUUUUGUUGUUGUUGUUCUCAAUAAAAAAAUUUAAA